GGACUUAUUUCUUCUCCAAGAUUCAAGAUUAUUGUAGCGAGUCUUAGCUCGCGGGACUUGGUGAACCCAACUUGGUAGCUCGGAGCCAGGAGAAGAUCAAGUUUAGGUCUGGGGAGGGUGUCAGAGAGUCGUAUUGUCUGCGUUAUCAGUAUCUUGUUAUUACCUGCUUGAGAGUGUAAGACUUGUUUUCUGACUGUAUUUGUACUAUGCAAACUGUUGGAUUGUAUUUGUAUUCUGUAGGGCUGCUAAAGCCCGUACUUGUAGUAUGUCAGUUUUCAGUACCCUAUUUGUGCUUUUAUGUUCUAUUCAUAUUUGCUUGUUA